GCCAGCUUCUCUGAAAUUUCCUUCAGCUUUCAGUGUUUACUACCUCAGAGAACACAGAGCUAUUCCUGUUAACAUGUCAACCACAUCAAACAAAGAGCUUCCUAAGUAGACACUUAGGGGAGAUUUCCAGUGAAGGGAAAAUUGCCAUAAUGCUGGUAAGUGGAUGAGCUGCCAUCGUUGGAAGGGAAUUAUGGGUGAGAGGAUAUGCCUGACUAAAUGUAAAAUCCAUUAAGGCACAUUGCAAUUAAAGACGAUUCCUUAAAGAGCUCCCUUCAAAAAUGAGCUGCUAGGGAGAUGGAACCAAGAGCCCUAUGUUGUCGCGGGAUGGCUAUGAAGGACCACUGCCAGAUGAGCAUGAAAAGGGAGGAGAGGCUGCCUGACUGUGCAGAUAGGAGAUGAGUUUUGAGGAACCGCUGCUGAGACUGAAAGAGGAAAUCUAAAAAGAGACAGCAUGGACAAGUGGGGACUGGAGACUGAACAGAAAGGAAGGUCACACAGAGGUCCGUGUUCGGGUGAGGGAGAAAGGACAAGAUGGAAGAAGGUAAAGAAGGUAAACAAGAUGGCGCAGUUCCGGGUUCUCCAUCAGCGACUUUCCCACGCUCAGGAAAAACUCCCGUGCCCAGGAACAACACGGAUUGUCUGCGCCUGCGCAUUGUGACGUCAAAAUAAAGAAACCAAAACUUACCCAGCCACGCCUAUGGAGACGCCCUUACCCCCGCCCCUGUCCUGCCCACCUCAAGCCCCAUCCAUAAAAGGCCGCUCCCGGAAGACAUCUGUGUGAACUUCCUCGGCCCCUCCUCAUAUGCGGACCUAGGAGUCUUGCCUGAGAACGCCGGAGCGACUUCCUCGGCCUCCACUGCCAGAGACCAGUGAACCUCGCCCUUUCCUCCUUCACAUUGGCUAGCUAAUAAAGUUUUUUUACCUUGCCUACGUGCCUCAUCUCUGGCGCCUGCUCCGGUGGUCGCAUAAAACAAAUCAGUCAGGAAGAAUCCAAACACACAGGCCUUGCCAGGCUCCCCCUCAGGCUGUCACCUUUAGAUCACACUCUUCAAUCCAGUUAUGUUUCUACCUGACUGUCUGUUUUUCAUCAAACCUAAGAAUAAAAAUGCACAUUUCCCGCUGAGGCUUUGGCUCUUCGUUUCUGAAGGCUCCCACAUCACAUAAAACUUUGAUUAAAUAAAUGUGCUUGCUUUUCUCUUGUUAACCCAUCUUUUGUUACAGGAGUGUAUGCUGCGACCUUAUGAUGGGUGAGGAAAGAGACUACAACUUUCCACCCCUACAGUACAGUUGUCGAAACUAAGAAACCGACAUUGGCAUAUUACUACAGACUUGAUUCAGACUUGAUCAUUUUUAUCACUAAGGCCCUUUAUGUGUUUAAGGAUCAAAUCCAGAAUACCACAUUGCAUUUAGCCAACAUAGUAUUUUAAAUCACAACCUUCCUGUGAAUGGGGAUAAGAUUAACUAUAGUUAUGAAUUCUAAAAAGAAGGAUGUCAUAGCAUAAUGAAUCAUAGUCACCUGCUGACUUUUGUUUUUAAUAAAAGGGUGCUAUACUAUGCAAAACCUGUUUCCUAAUAAAGCAUGGUUGGAGCAUUGUCCUUUGAUUACAAAAUUAACUUUUCUUGUUGACUUUCAUUAUAAUUCCAGAAUAUUUUAUCCUUGUUGCUGAAUGAGCUUCAAUAGACAGUGCUUCCUAACACUUAACUUUAAUUUCCCUCUUUUCAUACCUUUGAGCAGUUAAUGAUCUAUAAACAUAUUCUUACUUGCAUUAAGAUGUUGAUGCGGCUUUCUUCUUUUGUAAUUUUUUUUUAAUCUGUC
ensembl:lncRNA